rnacentral:lncRNA from 1 species
UACGAAAAUCUUUAUGUGUGUAUAUAAUGCCCAGUUGGAUACAGGAAGUCUACUCUUGAAGGGAGCUACGUAUCACUGAUAAGUUUUGUGUGACUUCAGGCUUUCCCCUCUGCUGGGCCAGGAAGUGAUUCGGGAACAAUUCUGCGGUGCCCCUUGUUAACUGAAGCAUCCUAGCACACAUUCACACCAUCUAAGAUGUUAAACAUAUUUGACCAGCCUACAUGCCAAUCCUUGGUGCCAUACGUGACUCAGAACGCCUAAUACUUACCAUAUUUGCCCAAGCAGCUAUAGCAUCUAGAUCCAGUCAAAACUGUCCACCAAUUUAGUUCCUACAGGAUUGUCAUGGGGGCACAGUACAGGGUAGGGGGGUAGUCUUUCUCUCAGGUGCCUGAACACUGCUUCAGUGCAGGAUCUCUAACUGGCAUUUUGAUACUUCUUGGAGAUCAAAGGAAUGCGUGUGAGAUGGACUUGUUUUUAAAGAGUCCCUCCAUUGUUCCUGAUUAGACAGUUGACCAGUCUUCAGUGUAGGAACUAGAAUUGGAGAGAGGCAUGAUGGGAACAAGUUAGCCAUAGAGAUUAAAUUACACAAAGGUUUCUGGGAUGACUGUCAGACAAAAAGCAUGUUCAGAAAGGUUGAAAUGGAGAGUUGCUAAAAUUAUAGAUUUUAAUGUAGUUUAUUCCUGCCCUUUGCCCUCAAUCCCUAGUAAAAGCAUAAGGGGGCAUGUUGGUGACAUCCAGAGACUAUAGGUGACAGUAAAGGUGAGGACAUACUCCGUCAAGCUUAGGAAAUCAGAACAAGGCUUAUAAAGAACAGACAAGCCAAGACACGGACUGGUUAGCAGAUCCACUGGCACCUCGGAAAGAGAGGGAAAGCAACCUUGACUCUGGGCACACUGCCUCUGACCCCAAAGGUACUGGUUUAGGCACGAGCCCAGUCUUCAGACGUCACUCUACCCCCAACCCUCACAGCCAUUGCACUAGUGAUAAUGCAUGGGCUGAUUUUUGGUACCCGGAAGGCAAUGUGAUGAGGAAAUGGAUGUAUCUAAAGCACUUGCCUUCUUGUUCCUGAACAUAGGGACUCACUAGCAGAGGCCUUCUGGACUUGGGGAGCCUCAUAGGCAGGUGGCCUUGCCCCUGACUUUUUUUUAGCCACUGCAUGAGGAAACAACAGCCCUCUCUCCACUUCUGCUAGAAUAUAGAGGAAAUGAAUCACCUGUAAACUUUGUCCCCAUUACCAACCCAGUCCGUGGAAGCAGAGCCACCUCCCUGGGAAGCAUGAGAAAGGACACCUGAGGACUAGAGGUUUGUAGAGCUUGCUAAGGUCAGAGUCCAGUAUAGUCUCCCUGCCUUGCACUGGCUGGUUCUGGAACACUGUCUGCUCUGAUUGUGAGGGGAGAGUUCCUACACAUGGAAAGCCUGCUAGUCCCUGCUGCUUUUUAUUAACCCAAGCCUCCUGGGAGGAACAUAGGUCAUUCAUUUAGCCUCGCUGCUAGGAACACCCACCACACACACACCCUCACUGAGCAUCCCUGCCUUUAGCUAAGCAGGGCCAGGCGGGAAGGGCAGCUACCUUGAUCCUGAUAAACUAGGAAGCAAGAGCAGAAACCACUGCAGGCUGAAAGAGGGCAAGGAGGACAGUGUGCCACAGCCACCCACCCCCACGUCUACUGUUUAUUUGGUUCUCUUUUUUAUCUUGAGAUAGGGCUUCAUUGUAGCCCAAGCUAGCCUUGAACUUGAUAUGUGGCUGAAGAUGGUUUUGAAUUUCUGGUCCUUCUGAUUUCUAAAAUUUCUACAUACUUGCCUUUUUCUAACAUCACAGAGAUAUUUGUAAAAGCCCAAAGAACUACGCGCUAACACAAACAGGAACUAUAUACUACUAACACAGGGAGAUUUGGACUAGAGAGAUAGUACAAUCAUUAAAGUGUUUGCCCUGCUGUGCAGGCGUGAAGACAUGAGACGCAGAACCCAUGUUACACACACACACACACACACACACAUGUGUGUGCUGAUAUCCUCUGUAAUUCCUGUUGGAGAAACAGAGAUAGGUUUGUCCCUGGAACUUGCUGACCAGCUUACUGGCCUAAUGGGUGAACAUUCCACCAGUUAAGAGACCCUUUCUGAAAAAGCAGGGUAAAUGACACAUGAGAAAUGGCAUUCAGAGUGGACCUUUGGCAUCCACAUCCAUGCACACAUGUGUGUCCUUGCACGUACACAUACAAACACAUCCACACGUCAUGGGAAAACAGACAUGAAAGAUUGGUAGGAAGCAUGUUCUUUUACCCUAGUAAAUGAUGCUUUCUUAAACCUGAAUUUUUAAAAAAGUGAACUCGAGCUACGUGAAAAAAUGCUCUUACAGCAUUUUUCUUGAAGCCUUAGAGUCACCCCAGUGUCUUAUCAAGAGAUUGGGUAGUUAAAAAACGAUGCUGACCUAUGAUAAGAUAUUACGACACUGCUAUUUCAGAGGAUGAAGUACAUUAAAUCUCUCCAAGAUAGGGAAGAAAAGCUGCGUUCCAAAGAAUGAUUUGUUCCCAUGCAUGCAGAUUUAUUUGGGACAUCAGGACCAGGCAUGAGAGAUUGCUGGCUGAGAAGUCCUCUGAAAGGACCUUAGUGCUAAGGGAGGGGCACAGGGAGACUUCACCGAUGGUGUGGACCACUAUUGCAGUUUGCAGUUUGUUUGCUGUGAGUAUGCCAUGUAAAGAAAUAGAAAAGAAUAGAAAG